GAUGAACGCUAGCGGCAGGCUCAACACAUGCAAGUCGAGGGGCAGCACGGGUAGCAAUACCUGGUGGCGACCGGCGGAAGGGUGCGUAACGCGUGAGCAACAUACCCUAUACAGGGGAAUAAGCCAGGGAAACUUGGUCUAAUGCCCCAUAGCAAUAGAAUAAGGCAUCUUAUUUUAUUUAAAGCUUCGGUGGUAUAGGAUUGGCUCGCGUGACAUUAGCUGGAUGGUGAGGUAACGGCUCACCAUGGCGAUGAUGUCUAGGGGUUCUGAGAGGAAGGCCCCCCACACUGGGACUGAGACACGGCCCAGACUCCUACGGGAGGCAGCAGUGAGGAAUAUUGGACAAUGGAUGGAAAUCUGAUCCAGCCAUGCCGCGUGCAGGAAGACGGCCCUAUGGGUUGUAAACUGCUUUUCUACGUGAGCAAUAAGGUCUACGAGUAGACUGAUGAGAGUAGCGUAGGAAUAAGCAUCGGCUAACUCCGUGCCAGCAGCCGCGGUAAUACGGAGGAUGCGAGCGUUAUCCGGAUUUAUUGGGUUUAAAGGGUGCGUAGGCGGCUUUUUAAGUCAGCGGUGAAAUUUUGCAGCUUAACUGUAACAGUGCCGUUGAUACUGAGGAGCUAGGAUUUGGUUGCUGUGGGUGGAAUGUGUGGUGUAGCGGUGAAAUGCUUAGAGAUCACACAGAAUAUCGAUUGCGAAGGCAGCUCACAAAGCCAAGAUUGACGCUGAGGCACGAAAGUGUGGGGAUCAAACAGGAUUAGAUACCCUGGUAGUCCACACUGUAAACGAUGAUAACUCGCUGUCGGCGAUACACAGUCGGUGGCCAAGCGAAAGCGAUAAGUUAUCCACCUGGGGAGUACGACCGCAAGGUUGAAACUCAAGGAAUUGACGGGGGCCCGCACA
rnacentral:rRNA from 1 species